rnacentral:rRNA from 1 species
GAUGAACGCCGGCGGCGUGCCUAAUACAUGCAAGUCGAGCGAACAGAUGAGGAGCUUGCUCCUCUGACGUUAGCGGCGGACGGGUGAGUAACACGUGGAUAACCUACCUAUAAGACUGGGAUAACUUCGGGAAACCGGAGCUAAUACCGGAUAAUAUAUUGAACCGCAUGGUUCAAUAGUGAAAGACGGUUUUGCUGUCACUUAUAGAUGGAUCCGCGCCGCAUUAGCUAGUUGGUAAGGUAACGGCUUACCAAGGCAACGAUGCGUAGCCGACCUGAGAGGGUUAUCGGGCAAACUGGAACUGAGACACGGGCCAGACUCCUACGGGAGGCAGCAGUAGGGAAUCUUCCGCAAUGGGCGAAAGCCUGACGGAGCAACGCCGCGUGAGUGAUGAAGGUCUUCGGAUCGUAAAACUCUGUUAUUAGGGAAGAACAAAUGUGUAAGUAACUAUGCACGUCUUGACGGUACCUAAUCAGAAAGCCACGGCUAACUACGUG